ensembl:lncRNA
GGGAAGGAUCUGCCAGGAGUUUUUAUCCAAGACUAGGAGGAGGUUCGCUGGGGAACAGUCGAGUUUGAUCCCAUAAUCCUCCAAAGCCGGCCCAAGAAAUGACUGAUCCAGUGCCAUUCGGAGUCUGCGGAGGUUCGCUGCGACCCUCGACCCUGGGAUAGGGGAUGCUCCGUACGGGAUGUUGAGAUGCAGAACAGCCUAACUGGGGAUUUGUGUGCGCUGUGUCAGCCGGGAUCCUGUGAGCCUCCAGGGGAGCCCCCUCCACCACCAGCAGCAGCAGCUCAUCGCGCAUCUGCUCUCGUCCGGGCUUUGCACUAGACUGCUCAGCGGGAAGGACCAGAUCGCGGCUGUUAACUACCCCAAUCGCUGGUCCAGGCUUCCGUGCACCGGUUUUCCGCAGGGCUGCGUACUUAUCCGGGCUCUUUCCUGGGAAGACCUUCUCUGAUGACGAGGAGUGACUUAGCAACCGGUUUGAGUCCCUUUGCGGGGAACCCUGGCGACGUGCUGUAACUUUGGGCAGAAUAACUACUUCCAAUCUUUCCUCUCGCCAUGCGAGGAGUGGGAGAAACAAGAACUAUAUGUAAAAGGAAUUUGUAAACUUUUAAACGCCAUACAAAAGGGAUUAAAAUGGAUGACUAAUGAUGAACACUGUCAUCCUUCUCCUAGUUUCUCUCGUUUGGGGACAAUUCCCUGGCUUUUUCAAGCAUCCCAGAAGUUUUAUUGAGUGUUCUCAUUAUUUGAGAGUCUCCACCUCACCCCUCCUCCGUUUCUUAAAAAAAAAAAAAAAUUGUUCCCUCCCC